CCCCUAGCAGGAAACUACUCUCACCCAGGAGCCUCUGUAGACUUAACAAUCUUCUCUUUACACCUAGCAGGCAUUUCCUCUAUCCUAGGAGCUAUCAAUUUCAUCACAACAAUUAUUAAUAUAAAACCCCCUGCAAUAUCCCAAUACCAAACCCCCCUCUUCGUCUGAUCAGUCUUAAUCACAGCAGUCCUACUUCUCCUUUCCCUCCCAGUCCUAGCCGCUGGCAUCACCAUACUACUAACAGAUCGCAACCUAAACACCACAUUCUUUGACCCAGCCGGAGGUGGAGAUCCUAUCCUAUAUCAACACCUAUUCUGAUUUUUUGGCCACCCUGAAGUCUACAUUCUCAUCCUGCCAGGUUUCGGCAUAAUCUCCCACAUCGUAACACACUAUUCCGGAAAAGAAGAGCCAUUUGGGUACAUAGGCAUAGUCUGAGCCAUGGUCUCAAUUGGCUUCCUGGGCUUUAUCGUAUGGGCCCACCACAUAUUCACAGUAGGAAUAGACGUGGACACACGAGCCUACUUCACCUCCGCUACCAUAAUCAUUGCCAUCCCCACCGGCGUCAAAGUAUUUAGCUGACUCGCUACACUCCACGGAAGCAACACUAAAUGAUCUGCCGCAAUCCUCUGAGCCUUAGGAUUUAUUUUCCUCUUCACCGUAGGCGGCCUAACAGGCAUCGUACUAGCAAACUCAUCACUAGACAUUGUACUACACGAUACAUACUACGUUGUAGCCCACUUUCAUUACGUCCUAUCAAUAGGAGCUGUAUUCGCCAUCAUGGGAGGCUUCAUCCACUGGUUCCCACUAUUCUCAGGCUACACCUUAGACCAGACCUAUGCUAAAAUUCACUUCAUCACCAUAUUUGUCGGCGUAAAUUUAACUUUCUUCCCACAGCAUUUCCUCGGCCUGUCAGGUAUACCCCGACGCUACUCCGACUACCCCGACGCAUACACCACCUGAAAUAUUUUAUCAUCCACAGGCUCAUUUAUCUCCCUAACAGCAGUUAUACUAAUAAUUUUCAUAAUUUGAGAAGCCUUCGCCUCAAAACGAAAAGUCCCAAUAGUUGAACAACCCUCCACAAGCCUAGAGUGAUUGUACGGAUGCCCCCCACCCUACCACACAUUUGAAGAACCCGUCUAUAUAAAACCCGAACAAAAAAGGAAGGAAUCGAACCUCCUAAAGCUGGUUUCAAGCCAACCCCACAACCUCCAUGACUUUUUCAAAAGAUACUAGAAAAACCAUUUCAUAACUUUGUCAAAGUUAAGUUACAGGCCAAACCCUGUGUAUCUUAAUGGCGCACGCAGCACAGGUAGGUUUACAAGACGCUACCUCUCCUAUCAUAGAAGAAUUGGUCAUCUUUCACGACCACGCCCUCAUAAUCAUUUUCCUAAUCUGCUUCCUAGUCCUGUACGCCCUUUUCCUAACACUCACAACAAAACUCACCAACACCAGCAUCUCAGACGCCCAAGAAAUGGAGACUAUUUGAACUAUCCUACCAGCCAUCAUCCUAAUUCUAAUCGCCCUCCCAUCUCUACGCAUCCUCUACUUAACAGACGAGAUCAACAACCCUUCCUUCACCAUCAAAUCAAUCGGUCAUCAAUGAUACUGAACCUACGAGUACACUGACUACGGUGGAUUGAUCUUCAACUCUUACAUGCUCCCACCACUAUUCCUAGAACCAGGCGACCUUCGACUCCUCGACGUCGACAACCGAGUAGUCCUCCCAGUCGAAGCUCCCGUUCGCAUAAUAAUCACAUCCCAAGACGUCUUACACUCAUGAACUGUACCCUCACUAGGCCUAAAAACGGACGCAAUCCCCGGACGCCUAAACCAAACCACAUUCACUGCCACGCGACCAGGAGUGUACUAUGGCCAAUGCUCAGAAAUCUGUGGAGCUAACCACAGCUUUAUGCCUAUCGUCCUAGAAUUAAUCCCCCUAAAAAUCUUCGAAAUAGGGCCCGUAUUCACUUUAUAACCCUCCCACCCCACAACCCAUCCUACCCCCUUUCCUGAGGCC
ensembl:lncRNA